CAGCAGCCACGGUAAUACGAAGGGUGCAAGCGUUAAUCGGAAUUACUGGGCGUAAAGCGUGCGUAGGCGGUUUGUUAAGUCUGCUGUGAAAUCCCCGGGCUCAACCUGGGAAUGGCAAUGGAUACUGGCAAGCUAGAGUGUGUCAGAGGAUGGUGGAAUUCCCGGUGUAGCGGUGAAAUGCGUAGAGAUCGGGAGGAACAUCAGUGGCGAAGGCGGCCAUCUGGGACAACACUGACGCUGAGGCACGAAAGCGUGGGGAGCAAACAGGAUUAGAUACCCGUGUAGUCCCUGUCUCUUAUAA
rnacentral:rRNA from 1 species